CGGGGGGAGCAAGCGUUGUUCGGAUUUACUGGGCGUAAAGGGCGCGUAGGCGGCCACCGCAAGUCGACUGUGAAAUCUCCGGGCUUAACCCGGAAAGGUCAGCCGAUACUGCGGGGCUAGAGUGCAGAAGGGGCAACUGGAAUUCUCGGUGUAGCGGUGAAAUGCGUAGAUAUCGAGAGGAACACCUGCGGCGAAGGCGGGUUGCUGGGCUGACACUGACGCUGAUGCGCGAAAGCUAGGGGAGCGAACGGGAUUAGAUACCCCGGUAGUCCACGCAGUAAACGAUGUGUACUAGGUGUGGCGGGUAUCAAGCCCCGCCGUGCCGGAGCCAACGCUGUAAGUACACCGCCUGGGGAGUACGGCCGCAAGGUUA
rnacentral:rRNA from 1 species